CCUACGUGUGGCAGCAGUGAGGAAUAUUGGUCAAUGGACGGAAGUCUGAACCAGCCAUGCCGCGUGCAGGAUGACGGCUCUAUGAGUUGUAAACUGCUUUUGUACAAGGGUAAACCUGAAUACGUGUAUUCAGCUGAAUGUACUGUACGAAUAAGGAUCGGCUAACUCCGUGCCAGCAGCCGCGGUAAUACGGAGGAUCCAAGCGUUAUCCGGAUUUAUUGGGUUUAAAGGGUGCGUAGGCGGAUUGUUAAGUGAGAGGUGAAAUGUCGCGGCUCAACUCUGGAACUGCCGCUGAUACUGGUGGUCUAGAGUAGAGGUGAGGUAGGCGGAAUGUGUGGUGUAGCGGUGAAAUGCUUAGAGAUCAUGCAGAACACCGAUUGCGAAGGCAGCUUAC
rnacentral:rRNA from 1 species